rnacentral:sRNA from 1 species
CUAGACUGAAGUACCAACUAAAUCAUCUCCUUUCAAAUUAUCACCGACACCAUCAUGGAUUCAAGCACCGCACACAGUCCGGUGUUUCUGGUAUUUCCUCCAGAAAUCACUGCUUCAGAAUAUGAGUCCACAGAACUUUCAACCACGACCUUUUCAACUCAAAGCCCCUUGCAAAAAUUAUUUGCUACAAAAAUGAAAAUCUUAGGGGAUAUCCAUUCUGGGGCUCUGUUUUGUUCAUUAAUUCUGGAGCCUUCCUAAUUGCACUGAAAAGAAAAACCACAGAAACUCUGAUAAUAUUGAGCCGAAUAAUGAAUUUUCUUAGUGCCCUGGGAGCAAUAGCUGGAAUCAUUCUCCUCACAUUUGGUUUCAUCCUAGAUCAAAACUACAUUUGUGGUUAUUCUCACCAAAAUAGU